UUAUUUACAUGAAAUUAAAUUUGAACAAUUAGAAAGAUUGUUUCGAUGAAAAUAUGACAUUUUAGUAUAGCUAUACUGUAAAAGAAAUACUAAGAUAAAUAUUACAUAAUUUAGGUAUUAUAAUUGGUUGACCAAAUAUAUCAGAUAAUAUUAUAAAAAAAGUUAACAAAUUACUUAUUUUAUUUUACUUUCAUUUUGUUUUAGCAGAUUCAAAAUGGCUUCAAGCAUAUUCAUACAUGCUUAUAUAUAUUACCCAUAAUAUUUAUUAUUAUAUAAAAUACUAUUAAAAAUUUGCCAAUCUUAAAAUGUUUUCAACAUCAUUUGAUGGUUAAAUAGAAAAAAAAAGAGAAAGAAAAAAAUGUUAGUGAAGAGCCUAACCUAUUAAUCAAAACAUGAGUAGCACAUGGGUUGAGGAUCUCUUGGUAAAUUGGAGUCCAUCUUCCUUAUACUCUUCAUUAACUCUCGUCGACUUUAUUCUAGACAUAACUCAUCUCUUUGUCCACCUAAGAACAUAAUUUCUUUGUAAGUUGAAGUCUCUUCAUUUCUUGUUAUCUUUUUAUCAACCUUUUUCUGAAACCGUAUCUUUCCAUCUCACUCAUCAUUUUAUUCCAAUCUGAAACACAGAGGAGAUGAAAUGGUGUUCCCAGCUUCUCGAUUUCAAUGGAGUCACUUUAGUUCGAGAAAGAGCCAUUCCCUCUACGAAAAAAGAAAACUAUUAAAAAAAAUUCAAAAAUGCCCAACGACAAAUAAUGUAUUGCUGAGAGUACAAUAAAAAUUCAUCACUUACUCAUUUGCUAAGCAAAAUAUGAAUUCGUCCGCACCACUAACCAAUGAUACCGAGCAGUUUCUACCACGUCAAAGCCUUUACUUCCAAACCUUUACAGUCCCAUUAAUUUGAAGAUCCAUCUUUCUUCAUAGAAAAAAGACGAAAGGAUCGGCUGUUCUAUUUAGUGGAAUAAAUUAAAUUGUUUGAAGAAGUUAAUAUAUAUAUAUAUGGAGCUGAUGUAAUGUAUGAGAAGAAGGCGGAGAUCAUGGCUGGAAACGGUUUUUCUUUCCUUUCGUUUUAUCAUCAUUUUUUUUUUCUCCUAUAUAACUGCGUAAUAAACCGUUUGUAUCAGAUUUCUUUUUAUUUUAACAUUUAUUAAAAAAAUUGAAUAAUUAACACGUGGCAUAAUUUAAUUGGUGAAGUGACUUGUGCUCUAGUAUAUAAAAGAUUGACUUACUGGGAUAUUUUUUAUUAUUCAGAAUGUCAAGUGCCAGCCCGAUAGAAAUACAGUUCUAUUGGCAAGAGGCGUUCUCUGGAACUACGGUUUUAUCUUCUUCGUCGAUUUGUCAGCUAGCCAACAAUGGUGAUACAACAUAUCCAGUUAGACGAAUCGUGGUGUAGAGACUCUUUGUGGUGCUUCCAUAGAGUCGUUUCGUCUUUAGUUUAUAUCCUGUGAAACGUUACGAGAUGUCUUGAUUCAUCGUCUUUAAUAAACAUCUUAACUCAAUCAACGCACAUCAAGAACGGAAUUUCAAUCAAUGAUACUUAUCCAUGUUCUAGGUGGUAAAUCCACCUAUAAAAAGAUAGUCAUCGUCUUCUCCAAAUCGAUUCAUCGCAGCCCUAGUACUCCAGCUGAAUCCAAGCGCCGUUAACUCAAGCGUCGUUGAAUCAACGUAUUCACUAAAAUCAGCUCUCCACUCUCACGAAUCACGAUCUCCAUUACUUCUUUAACCUCUUUUGUGCAAUAAGAAUGUCUAAGAUAGUUCACCAACAAAAUCACGUAAAGGUUUUAUUCCAACAGAAAAUGAUGCACAAGUAUGUCUACAUACACGAAAGCUACUGCGAUCAACAAGAGCUUGCAAAUAUUUCCAGGAGCUUCGAUUCAACCUUCUAAAAGAUGCUGUCAAGGAAGGUCUAUUGCAUUUCCAGAAAGGUAGCGUUUCCACAAGAAAUCUUAAUGACCAUCAACAUCGUCCAUGACUAGCAGAGGAGUAUAGUUCCAAUUCUAACGCAAAAAAAAAAAAAAAACUACUUCAAGAAGAAUAGUGUGCACACAGGUAGAAUAAUGUUUCUCUGAACCGUUCCUUCAAUUUUUUUUACUGAACAGCCAAUAGAUUCGAACUCACGAUUAGCAGGCAACACUAGAAAAACCAGAGUAGUAAAGAAGACACUAUGGUACAGCUUUUGGGUGAUCCAUUAUUUAAUUUUAUAAACAACCUUGCGCAUCUAACCGUACUACUCCGUAAUGUUAACACUGCUACUUCUUUAAGACAACCUGUCUCUCAUACAGAUUUCCAGUUACUACAAACGCUUUGGCUA